AUCAAAAUGCCUUCCUUCACGAGUUUGGGCUAAAGGAUAUUAGUUGAUUACUAUUUGAUUGGCUUAAUGGUGAAUUUUAAGGAAAGUCAUCAGGAUAAUUAGUUGCCUCUUCCUCCUGUUGUCCAAUGUAUGUCAGCAUUCUUGAGCUUGUAUCGUGAUGUUGGCUGAUGUAACACCUCCCCCUCAUAGGCCCGCAGCAGGAAGGCAAACAAGAAGAAGAUGCAGAAGGUGGACAGCAGCAUACUUGGCUUCAAUGUCACCUCCAAUGAGCGCAUCAAUGUUGGAGAGCGCGAGUAUGCUGAAUGAAGCAGACCAGGCAGCACAGGUCCCCUAUCAGGAAAACAUGCGCUUCACUGGGAAUAGAACUAGAUGGAGAGACGGAAAGUUACCCCAUGAGAGCAAGUGGAAUUGGACCAAGUAGUGGCAACGUGGGUACAAAAUGAACCAGAAUAAACUCAUUAACGUCCACUCUGAAAAAAAAGUAUUUCUUAUGCAAUUGUGUGGAUAUCAUAUUGGGGAGGGAAUGGAGGAUGGGAAGCCAAUGCUCAGAUUAUCUACUAGGCACAUUUAGCUUGCCUCAAGUGUUUACUGUGAGCAGGUGGAGGGAGGAUGGCUUGUGUGUAGUAGCAUUUGUGGCUGGUCCAGUGUUGCUCCCUGCCUUGUCUCGUCUUGAGCAUAUUUUCCAGGAAAGUAUGAUGAUUUAGUUAUUAAAAGUCAAAGUUGUCUGUGAUAGUGGCCUGCUUACAGAUUUAGGCAAGUUCUUGAAACUGGAACAUUACUACUUGAAAUUUACUACAGCUUUAUAUAUCUUGGAGAGGAAUAAUGUGCAUACCUAUAUUCCAUGUUCUGCUGUAGGAUGGAAGGAAAGAAUGGCAUAAAUUUGUAUUAAAUCCACCAGUUUAAGUUUUCUAUCACCCUGUUGUUCAGAUAGCAGCUUUUCCUUGAAAUGAAGAAUUUUUUUUUUAUGAGCAAUUACAAAGAAACACUAAACUCAAAAAGGAUGUGAAACCAGCUGGAAUCUAUGACACUUACAAAAAACAUCACUUCAUGUCUGGUGGUCUUGUAUCUCAGUAAAGUGAGACUAGCUGUUACCUAACCAUCACAAAGUCCAGGCUAGUGACAUCUUGCUUCCAGCCUGAAAAGUCUGCUCUGCCAUCCAUGUUUUGAGGUUACCUGUAGGAAGAUCAAAAUUCAAAUGAGAAUACAUACAUUUAUCUAGUUUGUUGUUCAUUGUGGUCUUUAGUUACAUAACCUUCACUUAUUACCUCUGUUUCAUUCUGAAUUUGCUUUUAAGUUAUCUUUUCAUCUGCUGACAAUCUUAUAGGCUGGGGACACACGAGUGACUUUGUGGCGGGGAUGUAGCUCUCCAUGACUUUCCAUUGUUUAGAAGCUGUCCCAUGCCCAGGAGCGUCAGUGGCCAGUGACUGUGGCGAGCUGUCGCUCAUCCCCACCACAGUGUGACGUGACUGUUCGAGGACCUGGGCAAACAAGUGACUGUGGCUGAGCUAUGGGAAGCCAGUCACAUACCAAACGUGGUGCCACGACGUAGUGCCACAGUUGCUAAACCCCGCCACAAAGUUGCUUGUGUGUUCCCGACCAAACUUUGACUAUUUAUAGAUUCUCAGCAGAUCAGAAGACUUGAGAGACAACACUGGUGGAAGGGAGUGUGAUGUUACGUGACUACUGUCCACGAUUGUGCUGGUGCCCACCUAAAACUGUUCUUGACCCUUUGGCUGCUUAUGACACUAUCACUCACUUCCAUUUGAGUACCCAGAUGCAACUGUAAUGAGCAAAGAUAUAACACAGCACUAAAAGGUUAGAACAACUUGAGUACUCCUUUGUCAUCAAUGGUGUCUUGAAAUUAUAUUCAAUUUUUUUAUGCUUGUGUUUUGUUGAGCUUUAGGAGAACCCUCAGCAGUUAGAGUUGAUUCAGAUGUUCUCAAUAGCAGAACAUGGAAAACAUCAAUUAUGCCGAGAUCUUCAAGCACAGAACAGUAGAUGCUACCAUUUGAUGGAGCAUUUGUUGGUCUAGUUUUCAAGUGAGCCCUUGCUGGUCGCUGGUUUUAAUCUGAGUUAUUAGUCUUAAGUAAUACACUGGUGCAGCAGAUUCACAUCGACUAAAUCCUUACUCAUUGAGAUGUAUUACUGGUUCAGUAUUAUCUUAGGUCAUGAGAGUCAGUUAGAAUGUAAUGGUUUAAUACUUAUGCCUUCCCUAAUGAUGUAAGCUGACUGCUGACUACCAUUCUUUCUCACUUCAUUACUUGUACGCUUUACUACACUUCAUGUCAUUUGUGCAGGAAAUGUAUAUACCAUAGUUUCAUCUCGUCACUACAUAUUCUUCCUUACGACAGACAUGACAGAGUUGUGUCCUUUCUUUCUGUUCCUGUCAUUAUGUUGCCAAAAUGGCUGCCUGCUUGACUGUUCAUGCAGACAGGUACAUAUGCUAUCUUAUUUGUUACUGCCAUGUAUAGUUGCAUCAUUUAAUUACUGCUUUCCUUUUUGCCUAAAUAUGUGAUGGACAAUAGUAAGCAGUAAAAUGACAUCUCAAAACCAAUUUCUACCACUCCAGUUAAAUUCGUGCAUUAGGGAUGUAUGUAAACCUGUAAAAAUUUUGAAUCUUUUCAUAUAUUUGUAACUGUUGCUUCUCUCAACAACAAAUUUAAUAACAAAGUAUUCUGUGAGGUAGACUGUAUGACAAAAUGUACUCCUAGGAUAAAUAAAACCAACAGUGACGACUGCCAGGGCUUAAGGUGGCUUCGUCAUUUUAAAAUUGAAUGCUUACACUGGAGUUGCUUGGCAUAAGGUGUAUCAUACUCCCAGGGAAACUAGCUAUCAGGUUAUACCUAAGGUUGUAAUACAAGAAGUACUAUUUUUGUUAAUACAUGCAUGGAACUUUUUGUCUGACAUUCAGACUUAACAAUCAGUGGUUGUUACCGAUAUACUGCCGUGUGUGGCUGGCUACUCUUCUGUGUACUUAAUUAAAAAUUAUUUAUUAUUUUUUUAUUGACGAAAACAUAAAGGGAACCAAAUAUGCUCUCAAACUUAACUGAUUUACCUGACUUGAGAUAUACAUGACUUACUGGGAGGAGCAUAGAAAUAUGGCAGCUUCCAAACUUUGAGUUAGGUUUUUAACAUGAAAAGCUGCUCUUCAUUAUAAGUAGAUAAAGUUUUGAUAUGAAGUAUACACAAUAUGAACUGCUUGGUCAUUUAUUGAUAUAAUGAGCUGCUGUUUAUGUUGGCAAGUGCAGAACAGCCUGGAAGAGUAAGAUGCUGUAUAAUGAAAGGGCUGCUACUUUUACAUGAGAGAAUUGACAACACCAUUAAUAAAAUCAGUAUUAUAUUUUGAAGCUCAGAAGGCAUGGAAACUUAAGUGUGCAAGCACCAACACCUCACGUGUGCUGCAGUGCUUGAGUGUGGUCUUCCGGGGUCAGUGCUGUGUGAGGCUGUUGUUAUGGGCAAGAGGACUGUGCCUAUGUUGUUAAUACAGAAAUGUUUUUGGUGCUCAAAUCCAGAGAUUCUGGAAUCCUUAAUACAAAAGAAAAAAAUGA